UGAUGAGGAGAUAGUGGCACAAAAAAGACCCAGGAUCUGCAGUGUUCCUAAACCUAAUAAGAACAAAGUUGCUGCUGUACAAAAAGCUAAUUCUGAAUUGCUUGAGAAAUACAAAACAGCUAGCAAUACUAAUGAUGGAUAUCCUGGUCAGAUUAGCAGAGAUAGACUCCUUAAAAAAAUUGAAACUCUGGAGGAUGAGCUACAAAGAAAAAGUAUUAAAAUAAAACAACUCACUAAACUGAACAUGCAACUCCAAGAAGGCAUACCUGCACUGAUAGAUGCUUCAGUAAAGAAGUAUGUUCAGAAACAUCUACCAAGUAAAGUCAGGCCUACAGAAACUUCACCAGAACAAGCAGCACAUCAGUUGCAUCCAGUUGCCAAGUCUGCAACACAUGCAGAGAUUUCAUGCAACAGGGAUAGUAAGAUAGAUGGCUUAUUGAAUCCAAUAGCCCAGCAAGAGGCAAGACAGGCCAGUGACUAUUAAAAAAAUGACAAGAAAUCUGAUGGGGGCAAUGUUCUCAAAAGAACAAUUAACAGAGUCCUCAGUCACUGGCAAAAAAGGCAUCCAAUGCAAUGACGUCAGGCAGGCACUGGAUUCUUCGAAAG